GGAAAACAAACACCAGGGAAGACCUUGAGGGAGGAAGGGCUUGUUCUGGCUAAGAGUGUGAAGAGAAGAAGUUCACCAUGUCAGGCAAGGCACAACGGAGGGAAGAGCUGGCAGUUGUGUUUCUGGUUGUGGCUUCUUGCUCACAUUCAGGAGGCACACAGAAACCAGGAAGCCAGGCUGGAGCAUGAAGGCGUAUCCUACAACUAUCCAAUACCUCCAUCAAGGUCCUAUCUCUAAAAAGCCCACAACUUUUCAAAAUAGGCCAAAUAGUUGUGAUCAGGUAUUCAAACCCAUGAGGGGAGAAAAAUCAAGUGUUGUGACUGUGACACAUGACUUUAAUUCCAGCACUCAAGAGGCAAGGGCAGGCAUAGCUCUGAGUUC
rnacentral:lncRNA from 1 species